GCAGUCUUAGUAUAGUGGUUAGUACGAGUCGUUGUGGCUCUUGCUGCGUCCCUUCGUCGGGAUGGUGGUUCCGACUAGACGGAUGUUCGAUUCCUCCAGAUUGCA
rnacentral:tRNA from 1 species